rnacentral:misc_RNA from 1 species
GAUGAAGAACGCAGUGAAAUGCGAUAAUUAAUGUGAAUUGCAGAAUUCAGUGAAUCAUCGAGUCUUUGAACGCACAUUGCGCCCCCUGGUAUUCCGGGGGGCAUGCCUGUCCGAGCGUCAUUGCUGCCCUCAAGCACGGCUUGUGUGUUGGGCUUCCGUCCCUGGCAACGGGGACGGGCCCAAAAGGCAGUGGCGGCACCAUGUCUGGUCCUCGAGCGUAUGGGGCUUUGUCACCCGCUCCCGUAGGUCCAGCUGGCAGCUAGCCUCGCAACCAAUCUUUUUAACCAGGUUGACCUCGGAUCAGGUAGGGAUACCCGCUGAACUUAAGCAUAUCAAUAACGGAGGA